GGGAAUUAUCAUGAAAACUAAGGAUUGCGAUUACAAUUCAAGUAAUAAUCAAGGAAAAUGAAAAUCUAAAAGGAAAAAUAAACAAGAAAGAUCACUCAAAAGAGGAGAGAAGAGAAAGAAAAACAGACUUGGAUCAAGAGAAAUUGAGAGAUCUGAGAAUGAGAGAGUCGACAGAAGAGAGAAGCAGACUCUUGUGAUCCUUAUUCCAUUUUAUCUUCGCUUAUGUAUUCAUUAUAUACACAAAAAUACAAAGAGAAUAGAGAGCGGAG
rnacentral:misc_RNA from 1 species